rnacentral:lncRNA from 1 species
UCAGAUAAGAGGGGUAACCGAUCCGGGGAUGGAUAAAAUCCUAAAACAUGGAUAAGACGAUGCAACAAGUAUUUUUAUGUCUUGAACAUCUCAGAAAGAAGUAAAGUGGAAACAACCUCAUUGUAUAUUGGAGACAAGACAAAAAUAUGGUUUCAUGGGUUAGCAAAUAAUCCAAAUAUGUUUGAAUGAGAAGUAUUCGAGGUGGAAUUGUGUAGAAGGUUUGGAGGAUUAGUCAAAAUUGAUAUUGUUGAAGAAUUUGACAAAUUAAUUUAGGAAGAUACCGUCUUCCAGUAUCAAAAAAAAUUUGAAGAAAUGAGGCCCCCUGUUAUUAACAAAGAACCCUGGACUUUUUAAAAAAUAUUUCAUUUCC